rnacentral:rRNA from 1 species
GCUUGCGGCCACACCGGCCUGAGUAUGCCUGAUCUCGUCCGAUCUUGGAAGCUAAGCAGGGUCGGGCCUGGUUAGUACUUGGAUGGGAGACCGCCUGGGAAUACCAGGUGCUGUAAGCU